rnacentral:rRNA from 1 species
CACGUAGGUGGCGACGUAAGUCGGGUGUGAAAGCCCCGGGCUCAACCUGGGAAUUGCAUUCGAGACUGCAUUGCUGGAGUACGGAAGAGGAAGGCGGAAUUCCCGGUGUAGCGGUGAAAUGCGUAGAUAUCGGGAGGAACAUCAGUGGCGAAGGCGGCCUUCUGGUCCAGUACUGACACUCAAGUGCGAAAGCGUGGGAGCAAACA